AGUGAACGCUGGCGGUAGGCCUAACACAUGCCAGUCGAACGACCGCACAGUAAGCUUUCGCUCUUACUGGUGGCGACUGACGGACGGGUAAGACAUACAUCACCUUCUUCUUUUUCUUGGGUGACUUCGUAGAACCACUUCUGCUACUACCUCAUACUUUCUACCGCUUAAUUCAGAAGUUCUUCACACUCUUCCCGUCUCUUUUAGCUGGUUCCGGAUUAGAUAGUUGGCGUGGUAAAGGCCCACCAAGGCGACGAUCCGUAGCUGAUCUGAGAGGGUGAUCGGCCACACUGGAACUGAGACACGGUCCAGACUCCUACGGGAGGCAGCAGUAGGGAAUAUUCGACAAUGGGCGAAAGCCUGAUGGAGCAAUACCGCGUGAGUGAAGAAGGUCUUCGGAUUGUAAAACUCUGUUGUUGGGAAAGAAAAGCAGCGGGUUAAAAUGUGGCUGUUCUGACGGUACCCAAAGAGAAAGCACCGGCUAACUUCGUG
rnacentral:rRNA from 1 species